UCCUACGGGAGGCAGCAGUGGGGAAUCUUGGACAAUGGGGGCAACCCUGAUCCAGCCAUCCCGCGUGUGCGAUGAAGCCCUCAGGGUUGUAAAGCACUUUAGCAGGAAAGAAACGGAUCUGGUAAUACCUGAGGCAACUGACGUACUCAGAAUAGACCCGGACGCC
rnacentral:rRNA from 2 species